rnacentral:rRNA from 1 species
UACGUAGGCAGCAAGCGUUGUUCGGAAUUACUGGGCGUAAAGAGUGUGUAGGCGGUGCUCCAAGUUUGGUGUGAAAUCUCCCGGCUUAACUGGGAGGGUGCAUUAGAAACUGGAAUGCUAGAGGAUGGGAGAGGUAAGCGGAAUUCCUGGUGUAGCGGUGAAAUGCGUAGAUAUCAGGAGGAACACCUGUGGUGUAGACAGCUUACUGGACCAUUUCUGACGCUGAGACACGAAAGCGUGGGUAGCAAACAGG